AAUCGGGAGUGACAACAGGGAUUGCCCUAGUAACGGCGAGUGAAGCGGCAUCAGCUCAAAUUUGAAAUCUGGCUCUUUUAGGGUCCGAGUUGUAAUUUGCAGAGGGCGCUUUGGCGUUGGCAGCGGUCCAAGUUCCUUGGAACAGGACGUCACAGAGGGUGAGAAUCCCGUACGUGGUCGCUGGCCUUCGCCGUGUAAAGCCCCUUCGACGAGUCGAGUUGUUUGGGAAUGCAGCUCUAAAUGGGAGGUAAAUUUCUUCUAAAGCUAAAUACUGGCCAGAGACCGAUAGCGCACAAGUAGAGUGAUCGAAAGAUGAAAAGCACUUUGGAAAGAGAGUCAAAUAGCACGUGAAAUUGUUGAAAGGGAAGCGCUUGCAGCCAGACUUGCCUGUAGUUGCUCAUCCGGGCUUUUGCCCGGUGCACUCUUCUGCGGGCAGGCCAGCAUCAGUCUAGGCGGUUGGAUAAAGGCCUCUGUCACGUACCUCCUUUCGGGGAGGCCUUAUAGGGGAGGCGUAAUGCAACCAGCCUGGACUGAGGUCCGCGCAUCUGCUAGGAUGCUGGCGUAAUGGCUGUAAGCGGCCCGUCUUGAAACACGGACCAAGGAGUCUAACAUCUAUGCGAGUGUUUGGGUGUCAAGCCCGAACGCGUAAUGAAAGUGAACGGAGGUGGGAUCCCUUUAGGGUGCACCAUCGACCGAUCCUGAUGUCUUCGGAUGGAUUUGAGUAAGAGCAUGGCUGUUGGGACCCGAAAGAUGGUGAACUAUGCUUGAAUAGGGUGAAGCCAGAGGAAACUCUGGUGGAGGCUCGCAGCGGUUCUGACGUGCAAAUCGAUCGUCAAAUUUGGGCAUAGGGGCGAAAGACUAAUCGAACUAUCUAGUAGCUGGGUUCCUGCGAGUCUCUCUCUCUCUCACGAGAGAAAACCC
rnacentral:rRNA from 1 species